rnacentral:lncRNA from 1 species
UCAGUUACUUUUUUUCUAUCUAUAUAUUUCUAGCAAAUUGUCAGAGUAAAACAGAACUAAUUUGCCGAUAUUUUUUCGUAUGCAGUGACCUUAACUUUACAACCUUUCGUUAGAACUUAGACCACCGCAUAGCGCAAGUGCGAUGGGAAAACAAAUAUUUUUAAUGAGAGUACACUUAAUGGGAAAUAAAAAUGAGACAUCAAGAUUAACCAGAAGAAAUGUACUGGAAACAUAGUCUGCAACAAAACACACGCUUCAUGAAUGUAUACAAUAAGCAAAGCUACACAAGUUGUGAGAAUUUAUCAAAGAACUAUCAUUAGUUAACAAACAGUUCUCCUCAGGCUGAUAUCCUGUUGAAAUUAAAUAAAAGAAAUUAAACUCUUUAUUUGAGAAGAUAAAACAGCCCAAGUUGCAAAAAAGUCAAAAGUGGUAGGUGUGAAUACGUAUGGAUACUUGUACAAGAGCAUAAAUUUGAGUCGAAAAAUCUAUCAGAAAAAAAUUGGCUGCCAGAUUUUUAUCGAAAAGUGAAAGCCGAUUGCACCUUUUUAUGUUCAGGUGUGUUUGAGUUCACUAUUUUGUUUUCCAAAUAUAUAAAGCAAG